rnacentral:lncRNA from 1 species
UCCGCCUGAAAUAUGGGAGGGUUUGAGUAAAAACAUAGGCCCAAAAUAUAGGCUUGGGUAAAAAACAAGGCCCGUUUAGAAAACGGGUCGAGCCUCGAGCACCACUUUUUUGGUCCAGGCUCGGCCCGGCCCGAUAUAAUAAAUAUAUUUAUUUUUAAAAAAAAAUUUUAAUUUUAAAAUAUUUUAAAAAUACUUUUUUAUUAUUUUUAAAUUUUAAAAUAUUUUUAAAAUACUUUUUUAAAUUUUUAAAAUAAAUUUUUAGUAUUUAUUAAAAAAUGGGCCGGGCCGGGCCAAGCCUGGGUUUAUGAUUUUUUUCCCGAGCCGGGCUUGGGCAAAAUUUUGAACCCAUAUUUCAGGCCAGGCUAAAAUUUUUUGUAGGCCCGGCCCAAACCCGACCCGGCCCAUGAGCACCUCUAAUGCCAUUAGAUCAUGGGCUUUUUGUACUCUUUCGCUAAAUUUACAUUUCCCAUCUUAAUCCUGUCUCGGAGUUCGUACAUUAUAUUUAUUAACUUAUGAUUGAUUAUUGACAAGUUUCUUAAUCCCCCAACUUUGCCGCCCAUUUUGUUCCACGCUGCUGCAUACAAUUCAUCAAAUAUUAUCCUUGUGGACAUGUGUAAUACCCAAUUUCUUUCUGCCCGGGCCCAUACAAAAUAAAAACACAGCAGGCCCAAUUACCAUUUACAACCUAAACCCAAAAUUCAGCCCAAUACCUUUUAAUAGACCCAACCCAUUAGCCUAAAACACAUACACACAAAAAACCCUAGUAGCCUCCAGCCUUAGCCGCACAUCCCAACAGCAGCCUCACCCUCGCCGCCGCGAAUGUCGCAGCAUGACUCUCCCCUGCGCACGUUGCGCACACAUCUGCAGCAACAAACAUCAACUAAACAACAACGAGAAAGAAGGAAAUAGCAAAAAUAACAGCGCAACAAUAAUAGGAAAUAAUGAUUUUGUUUGGAUUUUAUUUUUUCUUUAUUUCGGUUAUAUCAACCGGUCGAAAAUCUAUAAAUAGGGGAUUUUUUGAGUGUAAAAGGGAAGAGACUGAAAAUACAGAGAAAACUAAUACGAGAGCAAAUCGAUUAUUCAUUCUUUAAAAGGUGAUUAUUAGAUUUUUUUAGAUUUUCCUUUUCUUUUUAUGUUUUUUUGGUUCUAUAUUGCAAAUAAUAUAAAAGAAGAGGAGGAAGAAAAGCUCACAUUUUCGUCGAGGCUGUCGCGCCACCACCAUCUCCGUCGCAAUCGGAGUUUUGGUGGGGGAAUAGAUGAUCGACGGCGCAAGAGGGUUAGGAGAAAAGCCCUAGCAGCAAUUGAUUUCUUUUUAAAUGGAACAGAUUUGAUUUCAAUUUUUUUCCUUUGGUUAAUUUAAGACAUAAGCAAAAUGGCGCCGUUUGGGGGGAAGGGGAAUCUGCGCAUUCUGACCUUAGAUGGUCUAUUUGUGCAUUUGGUCCCCCUAUUCUUGCUGUGCGUUUAAAUUGAAUUUCAGAUUUCUUUUAAUUUUACCCACAUACUUUAUUUCUGUUUCAAUCUGGCCCUUACUGCUGCGCAACAAUUGGAGAAAGUGGAUUAAUUUCUCGAGGGGUCCUCCUUUGGUUGUGCGCGUUUUGAUGUGGUCCCUUUGCGCGUUUUUUUUAACUUCAAAUUCGGCCCUUAAUUUUUUUUUUUUGAUUUAAUCCUUCAUCUUAGUUUUUUUUUUAUUUUUAAUGUUGUUGAUAUUUUUAUCAUAUCUUUAUUAUUAUAUUGUUUCUACCAUCAUUAUUUUUGCUAUUUUUUAUACAUUAACACACGCAUUUCUUUUUAUAUAUAUAUAUAUAAUAUAUACGUAUAAUUUUUAUAAAUGCAUACGCAUUCUUAUAUAUAUAUUAUGCUUUUCAUAUUUUUAUAUACACAUAUAUACUUACAAUCUAUAAAUAUAUAUACUUUAUUUUUUUAUUUUAUAC